rnacentral:rRNA from 1 species
UACGUAGGGGGCGAGCGUUAUCCGGCAUCACUGGGCGUAAAGGGUGCGUAGGCGGCCGAUAAAGUCAGGGGUGAAAGGCUACGGCUUAACCGUAGUAAGCCUUUGAAACUUAUUGGCUUGAGUGCAGGAAAGGAGAGUGGAAUUCCUAGUGUAGCGGUGAAAUGCGUAGAUAUUAGGAGGAACACCAGUGGCGAAGGCGACUCUCUGGACUGUAACUGACGCUGAGGCACGAAAGCGUGGGGAGCGAACAGG